rnacentral:tRNA from 1 species
GGAGCUAUACUUUAUUUUAGAAGAAUUGAUUUGCAUUCAAUAAGAAGCUUAAAUAGCUUGGUUCCA